UUGUAGUUUUUUUUUUUUUUUUUUGCUUCAUCCAUGUCAAUUAUUAGGGUGAAAAAAAUUAUUAUUAAACUUAAUUAAUUUGAUCACAUGUAAAUGCAAAAACGUUUAUGAGAAACAUUGUGAUGAAAUUUAAACUUCUGAAAAGGCUGACAUAUCUUUUCAAAACUACAAAGAAGAUAGUGCACAUCAAAAACAAGCUAAAAACCCUAUUUAUGCCCUUUGGCAGGUCAUGAUCACAGCUGCUACAAUAGGAUAAGCAACUACUUAGUGCCUAGAAACAGUCUUGCUGUCUGGGGUGUGGGGACAUAUCAGCAGGUCAAAAACACAGGCCAAUGAACAAAUCAAUGAAAAAGAUAUGGCUGAGUGAUAUACUUGUAAUGAACAGUGUGUUCUUAGAAUAAGUCAACAAGAAUCCCUUUCAUUCCAACUGAGAACACAUGCAGCUAGUCCACAAACAUCACUUUGGCUUGCACUGGGAACAGAUACAAACAAAAUUUGGCAACAACUGUCUCCCAGUUUAUCCUUAUUCCGCGUACACAUUUUUUUCCCCAAUCUACUUCAAUAUGAUAUAUAUAUAUUUUUUUUUA